CGGGGGGCUGCAGGCGCGAAAAUUUUACAAUGCUCGAAAGAGUGAUAAAGGCAUCCAGAGUGCUUUCUCUUACUUGAGAAAGCUUUUGUUAUGUGUAAAAAGCAUUACGAAUAAGGGCUGGGCAAGACUGGUGCCAGCCGCCGCGGUAAUACCAGCGGCCCAAGUGGCAACCACAUUUAUUGGGUCUAAAGCGUUCGUAGCUGGUUCUGUAACUUCUUUGUGAAAUUGUAUAGCUUAACUAUACUACGUGCAAAGAAAACUGCAGAACUUGAGACCGGAAGAAGUAAAGGGAAUGGUUAGGGAAGUAGUAAAAUGCUAUAAUCCUAAUUAGACCACCAAUGGCGAAGGCACUUUACUAGAACGGGUCUGACAGUAAGGAACGAAAGCUAGGGGAGCGAACCGGAUUAGAUACCCUGGUAGUC
rnacentral:rRNA from 1 species